rnacentral:rRNA from 1 species
CUACGGGCCGCUGCAGUGGGGAAUAUUGCACAAUGGGCGCAAGCCUGAUGCAGCCAUGCCGCGUGUGUGAAGAAGGCCUUCGGGUUGUAAAGCACUUUCAGUUGUGAGGAAAGGUUGUAGAUUAAUACUCUGCAGCUGUGACGUUAGCAACAGAAGAAGCACCGGCUAACUCCGUGCCAGCAGCCGCGGUAAUACGGAGGGUGCGAGCGUUAAUCGGAAUUACUGGGCGUAAAGCGCGUGUAGGUGGCUUGUUAAGCCAGAUGUGAAAGCCCCGGGCUCAACCUGGGAACUGCAUUUGGAACUGGCAGGCUAGAGUUUUGUAGAGGGUGGUAGAAUUUCAGGUGUAGCGGUGAAAUGCGUAGAGAUCUGAAGGAAUACCGGUGGCGAAGGCGACCACCUGGCCAAUAACUGACACUGAGACGCGAAGGCGUGGGUAGCAAACGGGAUUAGAUACCCCCGUAGUC